CAGUCGCCACGGUAAUACGUAGGGUGCAAGCGUUGUCCGGAAUUAUUGGGCGUAAAGAGCUCGUAGGCGGUUUGUCGCGUCUGCUGUGAAAACGCGAGGCUCAACCUCGCGCCUGCAGUGGGUACGGGCAGACUAGAGUGCGGUAGGGGAGAUUGGAAUUCCUGGUGUAGCGGUGGAAUGCGCAGAUAUCAGGAGGAACACCGAUGGCGAAGGCAGAUCUCUGGGCCGUAACUGACGCUGAGGAGCGAAAGCGUGGGGAGCGAACAGGAUUAGAUACCCCGGUAGUCCCUGUCUCUUAUAC
rnacentral:rRNA from 1 species